CUGGGGAGUACGGCCGCAAGGUUAAAACUCAAAUGAAUUGACGGGGGCCCGCACAAGCGGUGGAGCAUGUGGUUUAAUUCGAUGCAACGCGAAGAACCUUACCUGGUCUUGACAUCCACGGAAGAAUUCAGAGAUGGAUUUGUGCCUUCGGGAACCGUGAGACAGGUGCUGCAUGGCUGUCGUCAGCUCGUGUUGUGAAAUGUUGGGUUAAGUCCCGCAACGAGCGCAACCCUUAUCCUUUGUUGCCAGCGGUCCGGCCGGGAACUC
rnacentral:rRNA from 3 species